GACGAACGCUGGCGGCGCGCCUAACACAUGCAAGUCGAACGGGAUCUAUUAGGAGCUUGCUCUUGGCAGAUCUAGUGGCGGACGGGUGAGUAACACGUGAGCAACCUGCCUUUCAGAGGGGGAUAACGUUGGGAAACCAACGCUAAUACCGCAUAACAUGCCGAGGGGGCAUCCCCUUGGUAUCAAAGGAGCAAUCCGCUGAAAGAUGGGCUCGCGCCCGAUUAGAUAGUUGGUGGGGUAAUGGCCUACCAAGUCUGCGAUCGGUAGCCGGACUGAGAGGUUGAUCGGCCACAUGAGGACUGAGACACGGCCCAGACUCCUACGGGAGGCAGCAGUGGGGAAUAUUGCACAAUGGGGGAAACCCUGAUGCAGCGACGCCGCGUGAGUGAAGACGGUCUUCGGAUUGCAAAGCUCUGUUGAGGGGGACGAUAAUGACGGUACCCCUUUAGAAAGCCACGGCUAACUACGUGCCAGCAGCCGCCGUAAUAC
rnacentral:rRNA from 1 species